UACGUAGGUGGCAAGCGUUACUCGGAAUCACUAGGCGUAAAGCGCGGGUAGGCGGUUGGGUAAGUCUCUUGUGAAAGCUCCCGGCUUAACUGGGAGAGGUCAAGGGAAACUACCUGGCUAGAGUGCGGUAGAGGAAGCUGGAAUUCCUGGUGUAGCGGUGAAAUGCGUAGAUAUCAGGAGGAACGCCUAUGGCGAAAGCAGGCUUCUGGACCGUCACUGACGCUGAUCCGCGAAAGCUAGGGGAGCAAACAGG
rnacentral:rRNA from 1 species